UAUGCUUUUGUAUGUGUACUAGAACUUGUCUCCUUGACUUUGGAAACUGUACUAUAUAUCAUUAUGUUAAUGUUUAAUUUUAUUUUGUUUGUAUAUAAAUUGGCCCUUUUCUCCACUGAAAAAGGGCCUUUGGCUCAGUUGGACCAACCGGUUAACAAAUGUCAAACACAUAAAUUAAAUAUAUACUUGUCUGUGAUAUUUAUAGUUAGGAGUAGUGAGGAAUGCAAGGGAAGUAUAAGAGGAAUGAAGGGAGGAAAGGCGAGAGAAGUAGUAGAAGGUAAAGAAAAUACAUUUAUUAAGCAUUUCACUCAUCUAUUCCUUUAUUUUUACAAUCAUAUAUAAUUUAGAAAGUGAAGAAUGGAAGCCACCUUGAACUAUUCAUGAAGCAUUUAAGCCCAAAAGACCCUUUUCCACCAUGAUCUAGGCUAUACGCAAAACAGUGUACCCUUACUUAUAUAGGCUGUUCAGAUACUGGAUUUGAGAGGUGUUUCUCUUUUUCCUACAACCAUUGGAGUGAUACUGUCACUGAAAAACCACAAAUGGAAUUUUGAUAUGCUGUCCUGUACUGGCCUACUGCACCAUCUAAAUUUAUGGGGGUUUUGAUUGCUGGAACCUACAUGAGGAAUGCUGCUGCUAUAAUUUGGAAUAGAUUGCUGAAGUGCAGAAGGCAUCAUGCAGUGGCUGGAAAAGUGGAUCUGAAAGGUGAUGCUUUUUGAUGGGAUGGAUGGCCUUGCCGCUGGAAUGGAGCACAAUGAGGGUCCGAGUAAUCACCUUAUUAGGUGCUUAAUAGUCUGUGUGGUUUGGGAGUAGUUGGGGUACUGAUGUUGAGGAGGUAGUAUGAUGGCAUCAGGAAUUUUGAAUAAUUAUAAGGUUGAGGUUCUUAGUGGUUCACUACCUACAUAAGAAUGGAUUUAGGGGGUUGAAUACCAGUAGGUUGGGAUCCAUGUAUUGGUGGGUGGGGUUUGCUUGGCAUCAACAGUGGUUACAGUGGGGAUGCAGAGCUUUGGAGCACCUGUUAUAAUUAGGCUUAUGGUAUUCCUUCGCCACAGAGAUUCAAAGGUAAUACAAAGAAAGGAAAGUUCUGGUGUGGAGUCAAACCCAAAGUUACAGGUUGCUCAGUUUGGGAGCUUAUUUGGGGGGUUGGUUUGGGAUUGGACGUCAAGAAGGAAGGAUAUCGGGGGGGAUGUGGAAGAUAUCUUUGGUUGUGGGGUAGGUUUUGGUAAGGGAGGUUCAGGGGAAUAUAGUUUGUGCCAUUUAUAUGAUGGAGGUAUUUGUCAUUUAGAGGGUGGGUUGUUUUUUUUUUUUUGGGCAGCAUCUUAGCCCGGUUAUGGUGUUUUGGUUUAUACUGCAUAGCUGGAUUCUGAAAGGAAGUUUCAAGCUUGUUACAUCCAUUGGGGGAAACAGGGUCGCAGCUAGGCAUGAUGAUAGGAAUUGGUUUGGUGUGGUUUUGCGUGGCUUUGGGUUUGUGGGGUUGCCUUUGGGGUGUAAUGUUUUCAGGACUCUUUAUGAUAUAGUACUGAUAGUGAGUGGAAAUGAGAUUUCAGUUAAGAUACAGAGGUUAUGCAGAGUUAUGGUUAGUUAGCAUUGGGAGGGAUCACUGGAUUAUUCUAAUCAUUUAUUUAAUUGAUAGUCUUUGAUAUUUAUAUGGCAGGAUGUUUGGUUGAUGACAAGGAACCUUUCUGUUUUUUUGGGGAGGCUGUACACCGAGGUAAGGCAGUUCAGUUGGGUUGUUAGACCCUGGAAAGUCUGGUAGGAGAGGGGGGAGCAGCCUAGUCAGGCUGGUGGGUGGAGAAGAGGGACAGGCUUGCCCUCUUCUGUUCCCCCUCUGGUGUUUGGAUGUUCAUUU